UUAAAAAUCUUUAAACAACAACCUACUAUUAUAUUAUAAAACAAAAAAAACUACACAAAAUUUCAACUUUCAGUGAGUUUACUUCAAUGGCGACUCAGUAUAAUCUUUCGUUAAUCAUCAAGAAUCCAUCAAAUGAAGAUGAAUUUCUACUUGUUAAGCAAAACCCACCUCCUAAAUUCAACGAUCCUGAGUAUGAUUCUUUUUCCGAUUCCCCUUUAUGGGAUUUUCCUUCUUCACCAUUGUUACCUCUUGAUUCUCCUUCAGAUAAUCAAUUUUCUAUACAAGUCCCUGAAUCUUGCUCAGAUGAGGUUGAUUUAAGUAAAUUUGAUCUUAAUUCAGCUAUUCAUAAGGUUCUAGAGCAAGUGGAAUUAGAGGAUACCCCAGUUGAGUGGAAAUUCAUGAAGUAUGUACAGGAGCCUGAAUUUGGACCAGGAUUGCCAGUAAAGACGAUCUACAUCAUUGGAACUUUGGGUCCUAAAAAUGGAAAAUUAAAGGAUGUUGAGUUCUGCAAGUGGAUGACCACUGAAGGAUGCAUUAGUAUGCUUGCUGAAGUGAAGCCUUGCAAUGACCGUGUAGGAUCAAUGGUGGUUGUUGGUCUUUUGAAUGAUUCAACAAAAUCUGGGACAUGGAAAAUUCCUCCCACCUUGAAAUGUCAGGAGUACCCUCUUGGUGUUAAAAUUAUACCUAUGGAAAGUAGAACAGCUAAACCUUUUCGUACAACAAACUUAAUUGUUUUCCUGCCUGAAUGCAAUGCUAAUGAGCAUGAUGAUGGUUUUAUCGCUCAUGGGGAAGCACUCAUAGUAGACCCAGGAUGUAAGUCAUCUUCAUAUGAACAGCUCAAGGAAAUCAUUGCUGCUUUGCCGAGAAAACUAGUCGUCUUUGUGACACAUCAUCAUAAUGAUCAUGUUGAUGGUCUUUCAGUAGUCCAGAAGUACAGUCCCGAUGCUCGUCUUUUGGCUCAUGAAAAUACGAUUCGUCGAAUUAGAAAAGAUGAUUGGUCUCUCCCAUAUGUUUCAGUUUCUGGAUCUGAGGAAAUUUGCAUUGGCAAUCAGAAAUUAAGAAUUAUCUUAGCACCGGGACAUACAGAUGGACAUAUGGCACUGCUUCAUGUUAGUACAAACUCGUUGAUCGUAGGGGAUCAUUGUGUGGGCCAAGGAAGUGCUCUCUUAGAUAGCGCGUCUGGUGGAAAUAUGCAGGAUUACUUUCAGACAACAUACAAAUUCAUUGAGCUCUCUCCUCAUGCGUUGAUUCCCAUGCACGGAAGAACUAAUAUGUGGCCAAAACACAUGCUCUGUGGGUAUCUCAAAAACCGGAGAAACAGAGAAUCAACCAUCUUAAUGGCAAUAGAGAAUGGUGCUAAAACAUUGUUUGACAUAGUUGCUUACACUUAUGCCGAUGUUGACCGAAGCCUCUGGUUUUAUGCCUCAUCAAAUGUGAGACUCCACGUGGAUCAUCUAGCAGUCCAGAAUAAAUUACCAAGUGACUUCUCUUUAGAAAAUUUCAAUCGCAGUUGUGCUGAGUUUGCUGGCAUGGUGCAUAAAAUAUAAGGAAACUUUCAGAAAGCAGCCCCCUAAGACCUGCAGUUACCUUUCUUCCUUUAGGAUUUUUCAAUCCAAAGUUUUCAGGCAAGUUAUGGGCUGCGUUUCCUUUUUAGGUGGAUAUUAGAAUACUCAAGUAGUGCAUUCUCAAUAAAGCAUCACACAGUCAGAGCGGCUUUACUAGUCGGUACUGGAGCUCUGGCCAUUGGUUGCUUGGCUGUAUCAUUCUCCAGAAAAAAUGAACUCCUCUCUAGGUGAUGCAAACAAUUCUUGCUCCGGAAGGCAGAUUUCGUCAAGGAAGUUAAUUUACCGUCUGGCUCCAGGUCAUGUUCUCUCUCAUUGUACCAGAAGCUCUAGGAGAAGCAUGAAGAUGUUUACAUUAGUAGUAAAAUACUCAUUGAUAGUGUUGUGCGCAUAACUCGCCAUCAUUGUUCUGCAUUUCUGAUAUUUUUUUGUGAUUAAAGAAACCGAUUGGAUCAAUUAGAAGUGUAAGACAAGAUUAUUGUUAAUGGAUCACACAACUUCUGAGACAGUUAUCAUAGAAA